rnacentral:rRNA from 1 species
AAUAUUGGACGAUGGGGGCAACCCUGAUCCAGCCAUGCCGCGUGUGUGAAGAAGGCCCUCGGGUUGUAAAGCACUUUCAGUGAGGAAGAACGCCUGGCGGUCAAUACCCGCCAGGGAAGACAUCACCCACAGAAGAAGCACCGGCUAACUCCGUGCCAGCAGCCGCGGUAAUACGGAGGGUGCGAGCGUUAAUCGGAAUUACUGGGCGUAAAGCGCGCGUAGGUGGCUUGAUCAGCCGGUUGUGAAAGCCCCGGGCUCAACCUGGGAACGGCAUCCGGAACUGUCAGGCUAGAGUGCAGGAGAGGAAGGUAGAAUUCCCGGUGUAGCGGUGAAAUGCGUAGAGAUCGGGAGGAAUACCAGUGGCGAAGGCGGCCUUCUGGACUGACACUGACACUGAGGUGCGAAAGCGUGGGUAGCAAACA